CUCCAGCACCGCCCUCCUCUGUCUCUGGUUUUCCCACCCUCUCACUUGCCCUAGUCCCCACUCCAUAAGACUCCCGCGCCCUCAAAGCAACCACGCUCUCAGGCCUCAGACGCCAUCACUACCCCUAGCGGCGAUACAGUGGGUAACAGGGCGGGGCGAAGGAAAAGGGCGGGGCGCGGCGGGGCCGCGCAGGCGCAGUAUGCAGAUUCGCAGGCCGCGGUUCCCCCCCUCCCCGCCCCGGGAAAGGAGUGUGCACGCGCUUCGGGUGCGUGAAGGUGGAGGGUGAGAAGGCUAGCACCCCUUGCGCUGGCCUCCGGCACGUUUCUAUCUGCUGUGGGGAAUUGGGAAGAAGAGCUUUGAGCCACUCGCUCUGCCAGUACCAGUUUAAGAUGGCAAGACCAACACUGUUGAUUCUGGGGCCAGAACUGGGACAAGUCCUUGAUUUGUCUACACUAGCUGUAUACACCAUCUACCUCCUGAGAGGAUUCAUUUUUCUUCCUAUAUGCAGGUAUGAGACAGCGCAACCCUUCCAUCACCCAACACUGCAACUUGUGGAUUUAUUUGUAUGGAGCUCCAGCAUUGCCAGUGCCCCUCAUUGUCUGGAGUGCACACCUGCCUGACCUCAGUAGACCCUUCAGGAAGUAUUCUAAGGGCUCACUGCUUGCUCCUUUCAGAAAGGGUGCAAGAGGAGAAAGAAGAAAUAGCCUGGCCAUCUUCCUGAAAUUUUCCCCAAAUGCUCAAUUCCCUGGGACCAGAGAGGAACCUCAGAUACAAACUUGACAAUGCCAAUGGAAAUAAUCAAUAUCAACCUAUAAAGGAAUAGAAAAGUUUUAUUUGAACUAAACUGAGGACUAUAGGCCAGGAGCCAGCCUCUCAGCCCUGAGGAACUGUUCCAAAGAAGCAUGAUUUUCAGCAUAUUCUUACAUCUUAUCGGUCAAAGAACAUCAGACAUGACAGGGGUACAUUCCUUCAAAGUUUCAAGAAGGACAAGUCAGCAUGUACCCAGUGAGUCCCUAAGGCCUUGGCACCGGAGGAGGAAGGCUUAUCAUUGAAGGAGCACUAGCAGUGACCUCCCAGGAAAAGAAGCAUUUAGCCUUUAUCUUUAAAACCAACAUUCUUUACUUCUGGCCGAUGCACCCUCUUCUUUACUGAUUAAAGCAGAUUACGAUGGAAGUUUGGUAAGCCACAAAGAGGCUGUUCUAGUUAGCAUGUUCAAGUUCAAGUUAAAUAUUGUCUAAGCCAGAAUGAUGUCCUCAUACCUCAGUAUGUGAAAUUUUCUUCCAUCAACAAGAAGCCUGAGGACAAAAUUUUAAAAGGGAAAUUCUGCAAAAAUUUGGGAUGGGGGAAAUGAAAGAGGAGAAUGGCUCUAUAUUAUAGGUCCUGGAAGAGGGGAGCUGGCCCCACACCCCAAAAUGGGUUUGUCUGGGCAAAUGACAAGAUAGGGAGGCUCCCCUAAUGUCCCCUCAUCUACCCAAGUGUGUUGGGGAACCCCCAGAGGCCAUGCAGAUGCCGACAACCGUAGCCACAUGUAACAUGACCAGAACCCGUGUUAUACCACAGUUUGGCUUCAUCAUAAUCCUGAAAGCACGGCAAAAAUUCUAGGUAUCAGGAGAGUCUCCAAAACCAUGGCCUGAUCCUCAAUGGAAAGAUUCCUGGGAGUGAGUUUAUUUUCUCUUUCUCUCUCUCUCUCUUUUUUUUUUUUUUUUGCCUUUUACAGCCACACCUGCAGCAUAUGGAGGUUCCCAGGCUAGGGGUUGAAUUGGAGCAACAGCUGCUGGCCUACAAUACACCACAGCCACAGCAAUGUGAGAUCCGAGCUAUGCCACAGCUUAUGGCAACUCCAGAUCCUUAACCAGUAAGCAAGGCCAGGGAUCAGACCUGUGUCCUCAUGUAUACUGGUCGGGUUCAUUGCUGCUGAACCAUGACGGGAACCCCAGUUCAGCCUUUUCUUGGGUAAACUAUGCAUUUUGUUAACACUUUUCCCAGAGAUGCUAUUCUUGGCUCCUAUGUAGCCUUUCUUUUGUUCAUCUAAAGCCUUCUCUAGAACCUCCCUGUUGUUUCCAGGGGGUUUUUUGCCAACUGCCUAGAGAAAUGUCACUUAAUGCCUGACUUUUGCUCGUUCUGCCUGUGUGUCCUCCAUUAUUUCCACCAUCAGAAAGCAAAACCAACCCACUUCCCAGCUUCCCCAGCAGUCAGGGUGGCCAUGGGACCCCUUUCUGUCCCCAAGGGGAGGUGGAAGCCUGUGGAGUGGACAUGCCUUGUUUUUUCUUGUUCUGCCCUGUUUCUCCUGCCUCAGGGCACUCACAGAGCCUAGAAGUUACAUCUUGAAACCACAAGAAUGUAAGGUCACAC
rnacentral:lncRNA from 1 species